rnacentral:lncRNA from 1 species
CUGUGUGUCCGUGUGUUCCCGUGUGUCCGUGUGUUCCCGUGUGUCCCCGUGGGUUGCCGUGUGUUCCCGUGUGUCCAUGUGUCCCCGUUUGUCCGUGUGUUUCCGUGUGUCCGUGUGUUCCCCUGUGUUCCCGUGUGUCCCCCUGUGUUCCCGUGUGUCCAUGUGUUCCCGUGUGUUCCUGUGUGUCCCCCUGUUUCCCUGUGUUCUCGUGUGUGUCCGUGUGUUCCCCUGUGUGUCCGUGUGUUCCCGUGUGUCACCGUGUGUUCCCAUGUGUUGCCGUGUUCCCGUGUGUUCCCGUGUCUCCCUGUGUGUUGCCGUGUGUUGCCAUGUGUACGUGUGUUGCCGUGUGUCCCUGUGUGUUGCCGUGUGUUCCCGUGUGUCCCCGCGUGUUCCUCUGUGUUCCCGUGUGUUCCCCGGUGUCCAUGUGUUCCCGUGUGUCCCCGUGUGUUGCCGUGUGUUGCCAUGUGUUGACGUGUGUUGCCGUGUGUUGCCGUGUGUUCCCGUGUGUCCGUGUGUUCCCGUGUGUUCCCGUGUGUCCGUGUGUUCCCGUGUGUCCCUGUGUUCCCCUGUGUUCCCGUGUGUCCCCGUGUGUUCCUCUGUGUUCCCGUGUGUUCCCCUGUGUCCGUGUGUUCCCAUGUGUCCGUGUGUUCCCGUGUGUUCCCAUGUGUUCCCCUGUGUUCCCAUGUGUCCGUGUGUUCCCGUGUGUCCCCGUGUUUCCCUGUGUUCCCGUGUGUGUCCGUGUGUUCCCCAGUGUGUCCGUGUGUUCCCGUGUGUCCUCCUGUGUUCCCGUGUGUUCCCCUGUGUUCCCGUGUGUCCGUAUGUUGCCGUGUUGCCGUGUCUUCCCGUGUGUCCGUGUGUUCCCGUGUGUCGUGUGUGUUGCCGUGUGUUGCCGUGUGUUGCCGUGUGUUCCCGUGUGUCCCUGUGUUCCCCUGUGUUCCCGUGUGUUCCCGUGUGUUCCCGUGUGUCCCUGUGUUCCCCUGUGUUCCCGUGUGUUCCCGUGUGUCCCUGUGUUCCCGUGUGUCCCUGUGUUCCCCUGUGUUCCCGUGUGUGUCCGUGCGCUCUCCCGUGUCGCUCCGCGCUCGCUGAGCGCUCGCGGCUCUCUCGCGGCGCACGCACUGCGCUCACGCCUCUGCGCAUGUCCGCGCACGUGAGCGCUCGCGUGUCCAGGUUUGCUGUCGCGUGCGCCAGUGUUUUGCGCGCGAGGGGCCGCGCAUGCGCGGUGCGGCGGCCGCGCCCGUUCCGCGCCGGACGUGGCAGCGGCGGGAGCGAUGCGGGCGGUGCCGCCGGGGCCGGGGCCGGGGCCGGGGCUGUGGCUGGUGUUGACGGGUGCGCUGGUGGCGGGCAGCGGCUCGGAGCACCCCCGGCUGCGCCAGACCGUGCUGCGGGACCUGGCCCGCGGCAAGGUGGAGGUGAGCGCGGGCGGGGAGCGCGGGGCGCGCCGGGCGGAGCCGGUGCCCGCUGGUGCGUGACGCGUGUCCUCUCCCGCAGAGCUGCGGCGGGUGACGGCUGA